GCCGGGGUGGCGGAAUAGGCAGACGCUGGGGACUUAAAAUCCCCUGGGCUCCGUGCCCGUGCGGGUUCGAUUCCCGCCCCCGGCA
rnacentral:tRNA from 1 species